rnacentral:lncRNA from 1 species
GGCCUUGUAUUUUUAUUCCGCACUGUUAUUUAAGAAUUUUACUACGCAACAUUGCUUAAUUAAAGGCUUAAAAAUGACUCUUGAUGAUUAAAUAGUUAAUGUGAGUGUUGUGUCAGCUGGCCUUAUCUUCACAAGAGGCGCUAUCAUGACUGGGUCAGUUAGGAUCGUGACAUAAACAUCCCUAUUUUGUCUUUGAGAUUCUACACUUCUUCUUCACCAUAUCUUGCACAUAAUCUUGCAUAAAUUUCUUCUUGACUUCCCUGCCUCUUUUUGAUACUCUCACAGCGUCAGUGUCACCUUGCAAAAUUUUAUGGCCAUGUAAAGAUCUCCAACAACAUCUUGUUUAGGAACAUCAUAUAAAAUAAUACAAUACCAUGAGGAAAAGUAAAACUAGAACAUACAAAGGAUCAAGAAAGGUUUCAAACUAAUUUACCUAUAUAGUUUGUUGAUUUUUUACGAUGAGGUGCACAUCUAUCCUUUCUUCUUUGUUUUGGUUUGGAGCAGGGUCUUCAUUUGGGUUGGAGCAGGGUCUUGACAUGGAUUUGGAGAAGGUGGUUGUUGGUUCGGAAAGCUAGAGGAAUUUUUUCACAUAUUUACUAUGGCCUCCACAUUAUGCCCAACCACUUUGCAAAUAGAGCAACUAACUUGCACAACAGCCUUCUUAGAUAUUCGUUGAGGUUUCUUCUUCUCAGCCCUAUUCUCCUUUGCACUCUAAGCAGCUUCUCUUUGUUUUUCUGGUUCUUUAGCCUCAUUUCUUCUAUCCUUAGGCUUCCUCCCUCUCUUUUUCUUUACUACCUUAGGUGGGAGAAUGUCACCACCUCUUACAACCUCAGGUCAGUGAUCUUCAAGGCCGGUAGGGUUUAUACAGUAAGAGUAUACUUUCUUGUAGUUUUCCACUUUGUAAUAGUCCAUGACAUAAUCUUCUAUUAACUCAUUGUUGCCAAGAAUACUAAUCACACCAUGGUGACAAGGCAAUCCAAUCAAAUCCUACCUUCUACAAGUACAAGUCUUGGCAGACAUAUCAACAAUAUAUGGCCCUUCAGAACCUUCAACUAAGACCCUAGGGCCUCUUGAAAAAUCAGGUUGAAACAUUAUUUCCUCCAUCCUAAUUUUCAACAACUUUUUUCAAUCUUAGGGCAUAUUGGCCCUUGGUAUCUCAAUCCACUCUUCUUUUUAACCAACCUCAUCAUCAACUUGUUCCUGGUCAUUUAUAGUACUGUUAUCCUUGUCCCUAGCAUCAAGUAUAUAUAUAAAAAGAUAUAUAUAACUUCGUAUGUUAUUAAAAGUAAAAGUGCAUAAGAAAAUGCAUAUUCUUAAUUAUAUGUUGAAGCUUUUACAUGAAUUGUUCAAUAACAUGUCACAUUUGGUAUGGCUUUUAAAUAAUGCUCGAAUCCAAGUAUUGAAUGGCCUCUCGGGGUUAUUGAACCAUUCUCUGGUCUCUUUGUCCUCAUUUUCCGAUUCAUCUAAAAACUACUUAAACAAGACUUCAUUACUAGCUCUAGCUUCACUCCAAAUUAAGUCUUGCAAAUUCUUACCUUUGUGUUUUUUUCUGAAAUGCUGAUACAUAUGCCUAACGCAAUUCUAGUGUUCAGUACUAGGGUACAAAUCGUUCAUAGCUCCAAUCUACCCCUUCAAAAAUAUUAUGAAACAUAAAACUUAGAACAAUGAAUAAAAUAUAAAGAAACGGAGUAAAAUACUAACGAAAUAAUAUUACCUUGACAUAAAUGAUAUGUGAUGUAUAUUCUGAAUCUCUCUUCCGCUCCUAGGUUAACCGGACACCAACUCCAAGUUUCCCUACUUUAGCUUCAACUAUGACUACAUAUGUUGUUGGAAAAUGAAAUGAUUUGUGUCAAUAGCCACUACACUCAACAAGUUCCCUCCAUAAUUUCACUUUAACCAACAAUCAUCCAAGCUAAUAAAUGGUAUACAACCAAAUUUAGAAGCAUUCUUCAAUGUUCCAAUACAAAUAUAAAACAAAAAUAUUCUGCUUUUGUCUCUCCACAAAAUUACAGAAGAGACUGGAUUUCUUUUUAAUAAAUCCUCUCAAUAUGAUAACAACUUCGCCUAUUGAGUUUCCUCAUCUCCAUAAAUCAAUUUUUGUGCCAUAUUAAUUGCGCUCCAAGCUUUCAUAUAACUAAUUUUAUUGUUAUAGUCAUUUCUAAUAAUUUCAAUUAAAUCAUUUACGCACCAUGAUAGAUCAGCUCUGAAUGUACUAAAAUACCUAUUAGCAAGCCAUGCAAUAUUCAUAUGGACAUUGUCAAACACAAUUCCACCUAUGUGCUCCAAAUUACAAGACUUAAUCUGAAUAGUUGGAGCAGUCUUACUCAGUAUAGUAUCAUACACUCUAAAAGGAUACUCAUUUUUUUUGCAUUUACAUAUCACUCUCUCCUGGUCGUUAUUAGAGAAUUUAAGCCGAAACCUACUUUUAAUACGAUAAUUUCUACAAGCAUCUUCAAACUUCUUUAAGCUACUAAAUUUCAUUCCAAGUUCCAAACUUGGAUUAUAUUUAUGUUUUUUCUCUAUCAUAUUCUUCAUAGUGAACUGCCUCCCCUUUAUCAUCUUUCGUACCAGAUAUUCUCUCGUAUGAUAAUUCCUCUAAUUUAGCAACAUCUGAGUCAUAUUUGUCAUUUCCUUCUAGUAUAAGUGUCACGAUCCCAACCCGAUCGUGAUGCCGCCCAACACACUACUAGUCAAGCCCGACCUUGUUACCACAAAUCCCACAAACAUAGAUAGAUUCCAGAAGCAAUAACAUAAUAUAAUAGGAGUCUGAAUUUACUGGAAAGUGCGGAAAUAACAAAAUACAUGAAAUAGUCCCACUAGGACUCGGCGUCACAAAUUUGAGCCUCUAUAAUGCAUAAUGUCGUACCAAUACAAAGUUUGCCUAAGCUCAAAGUGUGAAAAAUAAGACAUAGGGAUGGAAGGGAGAAAGUCAAUGGCUGCAAACGCCGUGCAGCUACAUUGACACUCCCGUAAAGUUGUAUUUGCUGAAUGCUGAAUCUACUCAGCCUGACACUGCUUUGGAUUUGCACACAAGGUGCAGGGAGUAUAGUGAGUACUGUAACCCAGUGAGUAAUAAAAUUAUAUAGUCCGAAGAUAGGAAAACACAGAAAUACACAAGAUAAGCUAAAUCCAAUGAUACAGUGACAUGUGAAAAUUAACAGCUGAUCAACAAGUAAAGGUGCAAAUGUAUGAAUGCAAUGCAAUGCAUAUGAUGGUACAAUCCAGUACCCACUAUGGCAUGCAGCCCGAUCCAUUUAUUUAUCAUCGAAGGCACUCACUGGGGGUGUAUACAGACUCCGUAGGGGCUCCUACAGCCCAAGCGCAAAUAUUACCGCAACGUGCAGUGCGAUAUAUAUAUAUAUGCUGCGAUGCGGUGCGCAGCCCGAUCCAUGCACUGUCCAAUAAUCAUCAUAAGUCCCAUGAGCAUUUAUAACACAGUAGUUCUUAGCCCGGAAUAUCAUGUAAAAAUGUCAUUUGAGUUUCAAAACUUAGAAAAUAUGGUUGAGGUUGGAAAACAAUGUUUAAAGACUGUGGACUGUACCAAAUGAUAUGCAAGUGUAUAUAGCAACAACAAUAUCAAUCCCCGAAGGAUUCUAUAAAUUGGUACGAGGCCGAAAUAUGGCAACAAGCCCAAAUAAUAUAAGUAGAAUAUUGUGUUUCAAUCACCAAUAUAUUGUAAAUCUCACUCGGGAUGGACCCAGUCACAAUCCCCACUAGUAACCGACCCCGCACUUGUCAUGGAGUGUGUGUCACGCCUCAAUAUAGCAUUACGAGGUGAAUGUCCGGGGUUUUAAACCCUCCGAACAGUAUUUACAAGUAUUACUGAACUCUAGCCGGCCGAAGACAAGUCCGCAAUUCCCGUUCCUGUCAAAUCGACCUCCUCGCGCGUCAAAUUUGGCCAAAACCACAAUGAAUACAUCACAAUAGGCUAAAGGAAUAUAACCGAAUCGAAAAGACUUGAAAUAUUAAAAAUUGCAAAAUAAGCAAAACUGGAGCCCCCGACGAACUUUUCGAAAUCAAGAAAAUUUUACACAAAAAUGUUCCUCAUCUCGCCACGAGUCUAUACGUAUAAAACUCAUCAAAAUCGGAGCUCCAAUGGGCCAUCAAAUCCCAGUUUCUCAUUCAAAAAUCCAAGCUCUUGUUCUUUCCCUUUUUACUCAAAUUCCAUAUCAAAAUUAGAUGAUGUUUCUAGGUCAUAGGUCUUACCUCUAAUUGAUUCCCGAUCAAAUCCCUCGAAAAAUCUCGUCAAAGGCUUCCAAGAUUGCUUAAAAUGGUGGAAAAUAGACUUAGUUCGCGAAUGAAAUGUUGUUAAAAUCUAUCUGCCUAGAUCACCAAUCAUCCUUCGCGAACGCGGAGCCCACCCACGAACGCGAUGCAUCAACUGGACCCAACUACACAAACGCGGCACCUAGUCGCGAACGCAAUGCACAAGGUUAAGGAUGCCAUAGGUUGAUAGAUGACUACUUGAUCCUUUCGUAGGUCUUCCUAUCCAUUUCUUACUUAAUUGCUCAGUUAUUACUUGCUCGGUUGUUACUUGAUCAGCAUUACAUCCUCAAAUCAUCAUCACCAUCUUCCAAAUUAUAGUCGGGGUCACUAAAGUCUUCAUCAUCACUACCAUCUCUAAUACUCUUACCAUCUUGAAUUCUACUUAAAAAAAAAAAUCAAUAUUAAACACAAUAGCUGCAGAGAUUUCAUUGAACGAUAGACCUAAAUUGAUAUUUGAACCCUAGACAUACAUAAAAUUUAAAGGUACAAAAUAAAAAUAGAUAAUAUGAAAAAAUUCUAACCCCUUAAUACUAUCCAAAUAUACAAAAUAAUACUAAAAUAAAGAUAAACCCUAUCCCACAAUCGUUGUCAUAAUAUAGAAAUUUUCUAAAAUAAAGCAAAAAACCUUAGUAUAUAAUGAGUGCCGCCAACUAAAUUCAAACAAAUAAAUGCAACACAAACAAAAAAUAAAAUUUUUACCUCUUUUGGAAUCAUUCUUAGUGCAGAAGUAUUUUUGUGGUCACUAAGUACAUCAAAAGUAUUAUGGUUGUCUGUUAAAAUACUCCUCUGAUAUGGAGAGGAAGCCAUACUUAAGACCUCUGCUUGAGAGCCUCGAAACAUCAUUGCUUGAGAAGAGAAUUGAGAUAGUUGUAUGUAUUUUGCUGAUCCUUGCUUAAGAGCCCUAAAACACACUUGAGAAACAAC